UGUUGUUGGAUAAUCCUGUUAGCAAUCCAACAACUGAAAGCAACAUUGAUAUAAUACUCCAAGAAGAAGAGGGAAAUAGAAGAGAGAAUAAUGUACAGGACCCUGAAUGUACUGGACUUCCAGUAGUAACUCUCUGGCAAAAUGACUUUGAUUCAGUACUGUUGCCAGUACCAGGAGUUGAAAUAGAGUUCAUUACUGCUAACUUCACAAACACAUCCCUGGCUGGAAACCUAACUACAGAGAUAAAUGGGACUGGCUUUGAAAUACACGAUACUGAUCCCAUCGAGAGUGUACAACUUUUGCCUGCUGAUGAAACUAGUUUAGAAGUAACCAGAAAAAAUGCAAACAUUGUAGCAUCUACAAGCCAUGAUAUUCUUCAGGGAGAAGAAAAUAUUAGUGAGGUUAGUGUAAAUACAAUUUUAUUCAUGCAACAAACUCAAAAAGUGCUUGGAAACUUAAGUUCUUAUAAAUAAAUUUUUUGUUCCAGGAGGAAAUGUUAGUUCACCAAAAUGCUGAUACCGAUUCAGACUUCGCACCUAAACCACCCGACUCUCCGCAGAAAGGAUGUGAUCCGCGGCCAAAGCGAGGGCGAAAGAGGAAGCAUGAAACUUCAAGAGAAGAAAACAAAGCAAAACGAAAUAGAAAUGAAGAACAUUACAACAACAAAGGUGUAAAAGUUGUAAAAUCUUUCAAAGAUUACCGAUGCAAUUGCUCACAAAUGUGUCACGAGAGACUUUCAGUAGAAGUGCGAAAAGAACAGUAUAUAAAAUACUGGGAGCUUGGUUCUUAUGAUGCACAAACCAAUUUCAUUGCUGCUCAUGUGUCUGAAAAUACAAAGAAAAGAAGCCAAGGAAAAAAUGAAGCAAAGAGAUGUUUUUCAAGACGUUACAGA